AUCCCUGGACCAUGAGGUUUUUAGGUGUGGAUGGUGGUAUUUAUUCUUCAAGUAGGAAUUUGGAUCAUUCUUUACAUCCUUUGUAAAUAAUAUGAAUCCAUGAAAUGCUUCAGCAGCCUAUUCCUU